AAUGGUGGUUAUUUCACUCUUUAAGAGGGGUUUCACUCUAGGACAGAGUGAAAAAUCUACCGGUUUAUCGAAACAGAAAAAUUCUUUUCCAGGUCAAGAUGAAUAAUUGGCUUGUCAACUGGUGCAUUAGGAUUGAUAUAUUACCUUUAAGUAUUUCCGAUCGAUUCUUACAAUAUAUCAUGUGUUUCCGCUGGAUUACUAAAAAUCUACUUAUAUUGCCAAGAUGAAAGAAAACCUCAUGCGUGGACAGCCAUAGGUUGAAUUUGCAAUGGUUACAAUUUGCAAAAUGGCUGUAUCAAAUGGCAUCUCUCAACAGAGUCAAUUGGUCGCUCUGUACAAAGACCAAAAUGAGUCCGUUGGAAUUGAAGUAGCUCAAAAGAAGGGCGACAAGCUAGGAUUGGGCUUCUGGUAAAAUCACUACGGAAGCCAUUUUGUUUUGUUUACUUCUUUCAAAUGAAAGAGUAACAAUGUCUCUGUAAAAGGUUCAGAGAAAAUGUUAACAAUUGUGUUUAUUAUAAUGGUUGCAUGCAUGUUCAACAAUAUUCAUAAAAUAUUAUUCUUUUAAGACAGUUAUUGCUUUGCAUCAAUAGUACAUUCUACAUUUAAUUAAUGUGUUGGUGUAAAGUAUUCAUAUAUUUUUCGCUGCUGUGUAUAAAAAUUGCCCGGAACCAUUUAGAAAAAAUAUUGAAAACCCUGAUUUUUGCUGAGGAAAAAAAAGAAGUGAAAUGUCUAUGGAGGUGAUUCUACAUUGGAAAAAGUCAUUCAUGUCUGAUGGAUCUUCAUCACUACUUUGCACUGAUCCCAAGUAAUCAGCGUUACCAUGGAAACCUUCCGAUCGUCUUCUAAGUAAAUUUACACAUGGGUUCACGAUGGGUUGCACCCUGCCUGCCACAGCUUAACCCGACACAGUCGCCAUCAUGAGAAGAAGAGAGCGAGCAUGUUACGUCAUCACGAAGGGGACCUUGCACUAUGCAUGCAUGGAGAUUGCAUUCAUUAAUGAAACCUGGGAGGAGGGGAGUGUGAAACAAGGACAUCCAAUGUGAUGAUUAAAUGAUGAGUCUGGCACCAUACUGCUGAUAUUGAUAGCAAGGGAUGCUGAACCUGGCACCAUACUGUUCCAAUGUCGACAUGCCUGGAUGGCUAGCAGUGAAUGUUGAGCUAUGUAUUCCACCAACUGAACGUUUAAAUGUCAACAGAAACCAUGCAUGACGAAUCAAGGGACAGAACAUGAUGCCAAGCCAACGCUGAAUGCAAUCUAAUACAGUCAGACAAGUCCUGUCCAGCCAUUUGCCACACCAAAAAUGCAGGAAUGGUUGACAAGCGGCUGAGUGAGUCUGCCAACUGCGGAUAUGACGUUGACUGCCGACACUGCGUACUUUGCGCAUACCAACAAGGAACAUGACAUGCAAGGAGAUUGGAGUUCAACUGUCAAGUACCUUGCCUGGAUCUACCACCAGGGAGUCCCACGAAGCUUGGAGAAGUUCAAAGAGUAGGACUACACACUCAACGCACACACACACAGCCCUAGACCGGAGACAGAGCACGACGAGCAAGCCGCCGCGGGACAGGCAGCACCAACCCAUGUGGGAGCCAGGUCGGAUGCAAAGAGAGAUGGUUGGAGGCAGGGCAUCUUUCUCAUCGACGUAAGCACUGAUACCAUGGUGACACAGGAUGCCUUGAGAUUUACAGAAUGUCUGGGAUGUUGCCAGCUUAAGAAGCAUCAACUUGUCUGCAGCGGCUAGAAUUAUGUCAGGCAAAUUUUCACACUUUUUUUUUCUUAUACUUUUUUUUCCCUUUUUUCUUCUCUCCCCUUCUUAAAUCCAGUCUGAUAAUUAUGAAGUAGUUGCCUUUUUUUUACUAAGAGCUUAUUCAUCGCCAGUACUCAUCCACUGUAAUGUGUAGAGAUAUGUUAAAAGAGAAAAUAUUUUAAAGGAAAGUUGGAAGACAUCGGGCAAUUUCUUCGUCUCUCCCCUUCUUAAAGGAACACGUUGCCUUGGAUUGGACGAGUUGGUCUAUAAA